CGCGUAGGCGGUUUUAAGUCAGAUGUGUAAUCCCCGAGCUUAACUUGGGAACUGCAUCUGAGACUGGAAGGCUAGAGUACUGGAGAGGGUGGUGGAAUUCCUCGUGUAGCGGUGAAAUGCGUAGAGAUGAGGAGGAACACCAGUGGCGAAGGCGGCCACCUGGACAGUAACUGACGCUGAGGCGCGAAAGUGUGGGUAGCAAACAGGAUUAGAUACCCUGGUAGUCCACGCUGUAAACGAUGAACACUUGGCGUGGAGGGAGUUGACCCCUUCCGUGCCGGAGCUAACGCGUUAAGUGUUCCGCCUGGGGAGUACGGUCGCAAGGCUGAA
rnacentral:rRNA from 1 species